rnacentral:lncRNA from 1 species
CCCACCAUACUACUACACUUCACCACCACCACCAACUCAUUACUAUCCUCCACAUCAUCAAUUCGUGGUCAAAGUUGUCGGAAAAGUCUAUUGUUUUAGAUGCUACGACUGGAAGCACCUAGAAAUGUCUCAUGGCAAGAAACACCUGAAAGGUAUCACAAUAUAAUUUAUACAACACUCGCAUUCUUUAUUUUCCUUUAAAAUAUCAUCAAAAAUAUAUUUAACUAUAUAUUAUCUUUUUUGUUGCUUUGCUCCUUACGCUCUUAAAAGAAUUCAUAAAUGUGUAUCUUUAUUUGGAUCUUUGAUCCAUUUAUGUUUUUCCAAAUCUGAAGUAACAUUAAAAUUUAAAAAGUCAAGAAAUUUUUUAAGGCAAGGACCAUAUCUAUAAUUGUGACUAUAGAGUAAAACAUAUUGAAAAAGAAGGUAUUCUGUUCUUGCUUGCAAAUGAAGAAUUAAUAUCGAGUGUAAUUCAUUCUCACAUUGGCAGACAAAAGUCUGUACACAUUGGCACACAAGUUGCCAUUAACAUGCAGUUUAUUUCCCUUAUUAGAUUACAAAAUAUUUUUUAUAGUGUGAUGAGAAGGUUUGUUUUAUUUCAUAUUAUGAGGUGAAAAGUGCUCGGAUCUAAAUGAUCAUCAUUAGUAUUGGAGUUAAUUAAUGUUUUCUUUUAUGGAUUAGGUGCGGUUGUUGAAGUGACUUGCAAGGCUGGUGACAAGAAAAUUGUGAGUUAUGGUACCACUAAGAUCAAUGGAAAAUUUAGCGUCACAGUAGAAGGAUUUGAAUAUCGCAAAUAUGGAGCAAAGGCUUGCAAGGCUAAACUCCACAAUGCUCCAAAGGACUCAAAGUGCAACAUUCCUACAAACCUUCAUUGGGGAAUAAAGGGUGCUAACCUCAAAGUGAAAUCAAAGAAUAGUUAUGAAGUUGUACUUUAUGCAAAACCAUUUGCUUAUGGAUCUAAAACACCUUAUGCAGAAUGCCAAAAGCCCAAGCCUACACCUGCUCCAUACUAUUAUAAAUCUCCUCCACCUCCAUCACCGACUUAUGUGUACAAGUCACCACCUCCUCCAUCACCAAAGUAUGUGUAUAAUUCACCACCUCCCCCAACCCCGACAUAUGUUUAUAAGUCUCCACCACCACCUGCCUACUAUUACAAAUCACCACCACCACCAACUAAGUCUCCACCUCCACCAUCACCAAAACCUGCACCAGUAUACUAUUAUAAAUCACCACCACCCCCAUCACCGUCACCACCCCCACCUUACUACUACAAGUCCCCGCCACCACCAUCACCGAAACCUGCACCUGUUUACUAUUUUAAAUCACCACCACCCCCAUCACCGUCACCACCCCCACCUUACUACUACAAGUCCCCGCCACCACCAUCACCGAAACCUGCACCUGUUUACUAUUUUAAAUCACCACCACCCCCAUCACCGUCACCACCCCCACCUUACUACUACAGGUCCCCACCACCACUAUCACCAUCUCCUCCACCUCCAUACUACUACAAGUCCCCUCCUCCUCCAUCGCCAUCUCCCCCUCCACCAUACUAUUACAAGUCACCACCGCCACCAUCCCCAUCACCUCCACCACCCUACUAUUACAAGUCUCCUUCUCCUCCAUCGCCUUCUCCCCUUCCCCCAUACUACUACAAGUCCCCUCCUCCACCAUCCCCAUCACCACCUCCACCCUACUACUACAAGUCUCCUCCUCCUCCAUCGCCUUCUCCCCUUCCCCCAUACUACUACAAGUCCCCUCCUCCACCAUCCCCAUCACCACCUCCACCCUACUACUAUAAGUCGCCUCCUCCACCAUCACCUUCUCCACCACCUCCCUACUACUACCACUCUCCACCUCCACCAGUAAAGUCUCCUCCUCCUCCUUAUUACUACAGCUCACCACCACCACCAGUGAAAUCACCUCCUCCACCCGUAUAUAUUUAUGCUUCCCCACCUCCUCCAGUCCACUACUAAGAGUUUCCAGCAGUUCAGCCAUUCUCCGCGCUCAAUCAAGUGAGUAGUUGUUUAAAUUAGUAAAAAAAAUUUCAUAUGAGAUCAACUUUUUUUCAUUACAGCUCUAAUCUUCUAUUUGAUUGUUUCUUUUCAGAUUUUAGUUGGAAACACAAAUUAAAUGAUGGCUUCUUGAGGAAAAGAUUCAAACAUCAAUGGAACAAAGCAAUUAACUUAUGGAAUAAGACAUUCAAUUUUUCAAUUGAAGGAUUGAUUUUUAGUUACAUGGACCAGUUUGGUUCUACUUCUCUUUUAGCCUUCUUGCACAUUGUUCUCUUAGUGCGUUCACACAUGAACGUAUCUAAGCUUUGAUGCUUUUUAGAGUUCAUUUCUUCGUAAUUUAUUGUUUUAUAUUGAGGACCACUGUCCUCAUUUUAUUCAUUCCUAUUAAUUAUUGUAUGUUGUUCUUUUGUAAUACCUUCAUGUACUUUGUGCACAAAUCAAUAAAAAGAUCAAUUUCAUUACAUUCACUUUCUUUUCUUUCUUCUGCAUCUUUCCCCUCUUCACAAAUGUUACAAACAAAUUAAAUUAAUCUUCUCCAAAUAUAUCUAAGCAAAUUGGAGAUGAAAAUACCUACAAUUAUUUUAAGAUAUUUAAUAGUUUAAUGUAGAAGUAGUUCAUGACAUAACUAUAAGUAAAACACCUAAAAAACACCUCUGUGUUACCACAAUGAACUAGUUACUUCUUACCAAAAUGGAAGAAAAGCCAUUUUCCUUUUUCUUGUUUUAGUGUGGCAACAGAAAUUUUAACUGUUGCCUCCACAUGCAGUUGAUCUCAUCAUUGAGCAUUCACACGAAUUUCUAAAGAUUAUUAUAAUGAAGAGAUUAAGAAGGCUAUAAUAUGAUGCUUUGAAUAGUAACCAAAAAUGAAUGAAAAUAUCAAAAUACUUUUGAAUAACUUAUUUCAUGAACUGAUGCUUCUGAAAUAAAUAAUAAAACAUUUCAGAAUAAAGAAAAUUUGUCAAACUUAUUUUUCAAUAACAUAAAUACUCUUGGUAUGUUGUUUACACUGGCCUCCCAUACCACUUGUCAGAUUACACUUAGUAUGUUGUUCUUGUUGUUGUAAACUCGGAUUUGGUGAAACAAUUCAAUGUCAAAAAAAAAAAAACAUCAUUUCAGUUGGCAACAUAUAAUUUAAAGCAAUCAAUAUACAUAUUUGUAAUUUAUAAACCAUGUGUCCAUCAGACCAUCUCAGUAAAAAAGGUUUUUUUAAGUUAUCAAGGUUAUUGCGACCAACUAGUGAUCCAAAAGAAAAUAAAUCAUCUAUUCGCUAACAAAUUGAAGAUUUUCACCAUGCUUGAGAUCAGUUGGUACAAGAGUAUCACACUUAGGUUUCGAAUAUGUUGAGCAUUUCACAUAGCGCAUUUGGUAAUAGUUGGUACAAGAUUCAGGCAAUGCCACACCUUAGCAUUUACCAGUAAUAAACUCUAUCAAUGCCAGCGUUGUUUUAUACCAGCUAGCUUGAGUCCGCGUCAGAGAAUAUACAUAUCCUGUCUCCUCUACAGAUCAGCAGGAAAGUAAAACAGGGGAAAAGAUAUUAAUUAAUUUGGCUAAAUAAGUCAAAGUUGCUGCAAUUAUUUGUAAAUGCAGGACACCACAUGAUUUAAUAUCAUAGAAUAUAUGCACUAGCUUUUUUCUAGAAAUUUUCAAACUUAUAAGUUUUUAAAGGUGAUAUAGAGAUAUGCUUAUCAGCCCACACCCUGGCAAUUGAAAACAAAAUGGCAAGAGAGUGGAAGUAUUAAAGAAUAGCACUUUCUUUCCUUUAAGCCAUUACAUGGCAUGUGUUUUUGUGUGCUUCAUAUGGUGUGUUCCCAUAUACAGCAAGUAACAAACUACUUAUUGAAAAGAAAAUGUAGAAAUAUACAAAGUGAUACAGAGAUGGACUUUAAUAAAUAAGAUGACAACUUGUAGAUCCAGCUGGUAAGAACUAUUAAUAUUCUUUUUGCACUUUGAUUAUCAAUUAGAGCAAUUGAAUUGGUCCUUUAGACAGCUCUUUACUAACAACUACUUCUAAAGGUGUGUUACUAUAAAUGCAUAGGCCAAUGAAUCCCCAAAGUGCAUCAGUUCUCAACAGUAAAAACUAAAAGUUGUCUCUUUUACUCUUCAGUUAACUAGCCACAUUUGGAGGCUAGGUGGUAUAAUUAUCCGGCGAAAUGAGAAUUCAAGGUGGCGGCCCUGCCAAGGGUCGUCAAUAUUUGUCACAAAUUUUAGUGGCAUUGGCCAUUUUGGCUGUUGCUAAUAUAGUAUCGGCAGAUCCUUAUGUAUACUCUUCGCCUCCACCUCCACCGUAUGUGUACAAGUCACCACCACCUCCUUCUCCUUCUCCACCACCACCUUAUGUGUACAAAUCUCCACCUCCUCCAUCACCUUCUCCCCCGCCUCCAUAUGUUUAUAAGUCACCUCCUCCUCCUUCUCCACCUCCACCUCCACCAUAUGUGUAUAAGUCUCCACCGCCUCCAUCGCCAUCUCCACCUCCACCAUAUUACUACAAGUCCCCUCCUCCACCAUCACCUUCACCACCACCACCAUAUUACUACAAGUCUCCACCUCCACCUUCACCAUCACCUCCACCACCAUAUUAUUACAAAUCUCCACCACCGCCCUCACCAUCACCACCACCACCAUACUAUUAUAAGUCUCCACCGACACCUUCUCCUUCACCUCCUCCACCAUACUCCUAUAAAUCUCCACCACCUCCUUCACCAUCUCCUCCGCCACCUUAUUACUACAAGUCUCCACCUCCUCCAUCUCCAUCACCACCACCACCAUAUUAUUACAAGUCUCCUCCUCCACCAUCCCCAUCACUACCCCCACCUUACUUCUACAAGUCUCCACCUCCACCGGCUAAGUCACCUCCUCCCCCAUACUACUACAGUUCUCCACCACCAGCAGUGAAGUCUCCCCCUCCACCAUAUUACUACUACUCACCACCACCACCAAAGAAAUCACCUCCCCCACCAUAUCACUAUACUUCUCCACCACCACCUGUUAAGUCACCGCCUCCUCCAUACUAUUACAGCUCCCCACCACCACCAAAGAAAUCACCUCCUACACCAUAUCACUACAGUUCCCCACCACCACCAGUGAAGUCCCCUCCAACUCCAUACUACUACAAAUCUCCACCACCACCACAACCAAAGAAGUCUUCUCCCCCGCCAUACUACUAUACUUCACCACCACCACCAACUCAUUACUAUCCUCCACAUCAUCAAUUCGUGGUCAAAGUUGUCGGAAAAGUAUAUUGUUUUAGAUGUUAUAAUUGGAAGCACCCAGAGAUGUCUCACGGAAAGAAACACCUGAAAGGUACCAGUCUUAUAAUUUAUACUACACUCUAUUCUUUAAAAUAUAUCAUUAAAUAUUUAUUUAACUAUAUAUUUUCUUUUUGGUUUCUUUUCUCAUUAUGCUCUUAUCAGUAUUCAAAUGUGUAUUUUUCUUUGGAUCUUUGAUCCAUCUCUUUUUUCAAAAUAUGAAAUUAGAAUUAAAAUUUUAAAACGUCAAGAAAUGAUAUAAGGGAACUAUAGAUAAAAUACAUUGAAAAUGGAAGUACUUACUUCUUGCUUGGAAAUGAAGAACUGAUUUUGAGUGUGAUCUAUUCUCACAUUGGCCGACAUAAGUCUGUAUUGACACACAAGUUUCCUUAUUAGCAUACAAUAUAUCAUAAUAAAGCUAGAAAAUGAAUUUUUAUCAUGUGAUGAAAAGGUUUGUUUCAUUUUAUGUUCUAGGGGAAAAAAUUCAGAUACAAAUGAUCAUCUAUUAACAACCCAACUGUUUUAGUGUUAAUUAAUGGUUAUUGUUACAUGGAUUAGAUGCUGUUGUUGAAGUAACUUGCAAGGCUGGUGACAAGAAAAUUGUGAGUUAUGGUACCACAAAGAUCAAUGGCAAAUUUAGCAUCACGGUUGAAGGAUUUGAAUAUCGCAAAUAUGGAGCAAAGGCUUGCAAGGCUAAACUCCACAAUACUCCAAAGGAUUCAAAGUGUAGCAUUCCUACAAACCUUCAUUGGGGAACUAAGGGUGCUAACCUCAAAGUGAAAUCAAAGAAUAGUAAUGAAGUUGUACUUUAUGCAAAACCAUUUGCUUAUGGAUCUAAGGCACCUUAUGCAGAAUGCAAAAAGCCCAAGGCUACACCUGCUCCAUACUAUUAUAAAUCUCCUCCACCUCCAACACCGAAUUAUGUUUAUAAAUCACCACCUCCUCCAUCGCCGGCUUACGUUUAUAAAUCACCACCUCCUCCAUCGCCGACUUACGUCUAUAAAUCACCACCUCCUCCAUCACCGACUUACGUUUAUAAAUCACCACCUCCUCCAUCACCGAAGUAUGUGUACAAAUCAGCACCUCCCCCAACCCCGACAUAUGUUUAUAAGUCUCCACCACCACCUGCUUACUAUUACAAAUCUCCGCCACCACCAACUAAGUCUCCACCACCCCAUUAUUAUUACAAUUCUCCGCCUUCACCAUCACCAAAACCGGCUCCGGUAUACUAUUACAAAUCACCACCACCGCCAUCACCGUCACCACCCCCACCUUACUACUACAAGUCCCCGCCACCACCAUCACCAAAACCGGCUCCGGUAUACUAUUACAAAUCACCACCACCGCCAUCACCGUCACCACCCCCACCUUACUACUACAAGUCCCCACCACCACCAUCACCUUCUCCCCCACCUCCCUACUACUAUAAGUCUACUCCACCACCAUCGUCGUCUCCUCCUCCACCAUACUACUAUAAGUCCCCUCCUCCACCAUCUCCAUCGCCACCCCCACCCUAUUACUACAAAUCUCCUCCACCACCAUCACCAUCACCUCCACCUCCAUACUACUACAAGUCUCCUCCUCCUCCAUCACCAUCUCCCCCUCCACCAUACGAUUACAAGUCACCACCUCCACCGUCACCAUCACCUCCACCACCCUACUACUACAAGUCUCCUCCACCACCAUCCCCCUCACCACCUCCACCCUACUACUAAAAGUCGCCUCCUCCACCGUCACCUUCUCCACCACCUCCCUACUACUACAAGUCACCUCCUCCAUCGUCACCUUCUCCACCACCUCCCUACUACUACCACUCUCCACCUCCACCAGUACAGUCUCCUCCUCCUCCUUAUUACUACAGCUCACCACCUACACCAGUGAAAUCACCUCCUCCGCCCGUAUAUAUUUACGCUUCCCCACCACCUCCAGUCCACUACUAAGAGUUUCCAGGAGUUCAGGCAUUCUCGGCAAUCAAUCAAGUGAGUAAUUGUUUAAAAUGUAAUUUUUUUCAUAUGAGAUUAACUUUGUUUUGCUUCUUUUCUUUGAAUUAGAUCUCUAAUUUUCUAUUUGAUUGUUUGUUUCCAGAUUUUAGUUUGAAACACCAAAUAAAUGAUGGCUUCUUGGGGAAAAGAUUCAAACGUCGAUGGAGCAAAGCAAUUAAUUUAAGGAAUAAGAUAUUCAAUUUUUCAAUUGAAGGGUUGAUUCUUCGUGACAUGGACCAGUUUGCUUCUACUUCUCUUUUGGCCUUCUUGCACAUUGUUCUCUUAGUUCGUUAACAUAAACGUAUCUAAGCUUUGAUUCUUUGUAGAGUUCGUUUCUCCAUAAUUUAUUGUUUUGUAUUGAGGAUAUUGUCCUCUUUUUAUUCAUUCCUAUUAACCAUUGUACGUUGUUUUUUUGUAGUACCUCUGUGUACUUUGUGCACAAUCCAAUAAAAAGAUCAAUUUCGUUAUAUACACUUCUUCUCUUUUCUUCUUCAUCUUUCCCUCUUAAUCUGUUACAAACAAAUUAAAUUAGUCUUGUCGAACUAUAUAUAAACAAAUUGGAAAUGAAAAUACCUACAAUUAUUUUAUGAACUUUAAUAGUUUUAAUAUUGAAGUAGUUCAAGAAAUUUAAUUGUUGAUCAUUUGUCUAAAUUGUUAUAAUAACAAUACAAGCAGUAUUUUGUUUCUUUUAAAUCCCCUGCCUUCCUUUGUGUUCGACUAUUAUGCCAAUGACACUUUGAAAUAAGGGUCAUAUUUUGUACCUGUUAGUUUUUAAUUUCCCACCAUCCUUUGUGUACGACUAUUCUCUCCAAACCAUUAUAGUUAUUCGUAAUAAUAUGAUAAGAUUUUCAUGCUAGAUACUUUUUCUUGGAGGAAAGGAACUUUAAUGAAGUUAAUUGAUAGCAGGUUAUUACUAAAUCUUUUAAGUUUACUACUUGUCAAGAAAAGCGGAGUAUUUGUUGUUGUAGGUCAAUAUAACCUUAUGGUGUAAAAAUAUAUGCUCACACAGUUAGUUCACAUAACUUAAGUUUGAAGGGGAGCUUGGUGUAACAAGUUAAGCAGUUGUCAUUUGACCAGGAGGUCACGAGUUCGAGAAACAUCCUCUAAUGCUGCGUACAAUAGACCCAUAUGGUCCAGCCCUUUUCCAGAUCCCCAUAGCGGGAGAUUAGCAUACGAGGUUGUCUUUUUACUAACUUUUUUAUAAUGUAAGCUCGAAAGAAAAUAAAGUAAACUGAAACACGGAUCUGUGCUUUUUAAAUUAGUACAAAAGCAUGCCAAGUCUCAACUAACAAAUUCUUUUCUAAUCUUACAUGGUAUUAAAUGAAAAUGAAAAAGAUAUUUUUUUAUAACUCAUUUCAUGAACUGAUGCUCCUGAAAUAAAUAAUAAGAAGAUAUCAUCAUAAAAUACACUCGGCAUAACACAUAAAUAUGACCCUAAACUUGACACCAAAUUAUAACAUUGACCUUACACUUUGAUAGUGCACAAAUAGGACCUUUAACUAUUCAAAACCUGAACAAAUAAACACCCCGAUCCUAUGUGGCAAAACGCGUGUUGCACACGCAAAACGGCCCGCGUUCGAGUUGGAAUUGAAGGGUUUUUUUGUUUAGUUUUUGUAUAGUUAAGGCCUAGUUGUGCACCGACAAAGUUAAAGGUCAUACUUAUAAUGUGUUUUUUUAUUAGGUGGCACCAUAUGAGUGGAUUAGUAAUCCACGUCAGAGCAAGUGAGGUACACGCGUGUAGUUGCAAAAUCGGAGUAUCUUUUUGUGCAGGUUUUGUAUAGUUGGCCUACUUAUGCACUAUCAAAGUUUAAGUGUACUAUCAAAGUUUAAGGUCAAUGUUAUAAUUCAUAUUUAUGUAUUAUGCCAAUACACUCGGUAUGUUGUUUACGCCGGCCUUCCCAGACCACUCGUAGGAUUACACUGGGCAUAUUGUUGUAGUACGUACACUCGGUUUGGCGAAACAAUUCGAUGUCAAAGAAAAUGUUGACGUUCUAAGUUUCUAGAACACCAUUUCUAGUUGGCAACAAAUAAUCGAAGCCAUCAACUUUCAGUAUAAAUGCUUAUAAACCAUGCACCCGUCAUAGUAAUAAAAAGGGUUAUUUUAAGUUAUAAGUUAUCAAGGUUCUUGAGAUCAACUAGUGAUCCAAAAAGAAAAUCAUUCAUCUAUUCGCAAAUAAAUUGAACAUUUUCACCAUGCAUAUGAUCAGUAGCGGAAGCAGGGAUCCUAAUAAGGGGAUUCAAAAAGGUACAAAAGUGUUACACUUACGUUUCAAUUUGAGCAUGUCACACAGCGCAUAUGGCAAUAGUUGGUAUAGAAUUUGGAAAAUGCCGUAGUAACGCACCUUAGCAAUUACCGGUAAUAAACUCUAUCAAUAUCAGUCUUGUUCUUUUACCAACCAGCUUGAGUCUGCGAUAUAGAAUAUAUAUAUAUAUAUCCUGACAAUGCUACAGAUCAUCAAACAAGUAAAACAGGGGAAGAGAUAUUAGUUAAUUUGGCUAAAUAAGUCAAAGUUGUUGUAAUUAUUUGUAAAUAUAGAACACCACAUAAUUAAAUAUAACAGAAUACGUAUACUAGUUUUUUUCUUGAAAUUAUCAAUCUUUUAAGUUUUGUAGGUGAUAUAGAGAUAUGCUUAUUGAAAACAAAAUGGCAAGAAAGUGGAAGUAAUAAAAAAUAGCACUUUCUUUCCUUUAACCAUUACAUGGCAUGUCUUUUUGUGUGCACAUUCAUAUUUUGUGCACUCCAUAGCAGGUAACAAACUACUUGCUAAAAAGAUAAAGUGGAAAUAUUCAAAGUGAUAUAGAGAUGGACUUUAAUUAACAAUAUGAGAACUCGUAGAUCCAGCUGUUAAGAGCUAUGAAUAUUCUUUCUACACUUAGAUUAUCAAUCAGAGCAAUUGAAUUGGUCAUUUAGACAGCUCUUUACUAACAACUAGUUUUCAAGGUGUGUUACUAUAAAUACAUAGGCCAAUGAAUCCUCUAAAGGCAUCACUUCUCAACUGAAAAACUAAACUUGUCUUCUUUCUUCUUUCUCUAACUAGCCCCAUUUGGAGACUAGGUGGUGUAGUUUUACUGAGAAAUGAGGCUUCGCGGUGGCGGCCCUGCCAAGGGUCGUCAAUAUUUACCUCAAAUCUUAGUGGCACUGGCCAUAUUGGCUGUUGCUAAUGUAGUGUCAGCAGACCCUUAUGUGUACUCUUCUCCACCACCUCCAACGUAUGAGUACAAGUCACCUCCACCUCCUUCUCCUUCUCCACCGCCACCUAAUGUGUACAAAUCUCCACCUCCUCCAUCACCUUCUCCCCCGCCUCCAUAUGUUUAUAAGUCACCACCUCCUCCUUCUCCAUCACCACCUGCACCAUAUGUGUAUAAGUCUCCACCACCUCCAUCGCCAUCCCCUCCACCACCAUAUGUGUAUAAGUCUCCACCACCUCCAUCGCCAUCUCCACCACCACCUUAUGUGUAUAAGUUUCCCCCACCUCCAUCACCAUCUCCACCUCCACCAUAUUACUACAAGUCUCCACCUCCACCUUCACCAUCACCUCCACCACCAUACUAUCACAAAUCUCCACCACCGCCUUCACCAUCACCACCCCCGCCAUACUAUUAUAAGUCUCCACCGCCACCUUCUCCUUCACCUCCUCCGCCAUACUACUACAAAUCACCACCACCUCCUUCGCCAUCUCCUCCUCCACCUUAUUACUACAAGUCUCCACCUCCUCCAUCUCCAUCACCACCACCACCAUAUUAUUACAAGUCUCCACCUCCACCAUCCCCAUCACCACCCCCUCCUUACUACUAUAAGUCUCCACCACCACCGCUUAAGUCACCUCCUCCCCCAUACUAUUACAGCUCUCCACCACCACCAGUGAAGUCUCCCCCUCCACCAUAUUACUACUCCUCACCACCACCACCAAAGAGAUCACCUCCCACACCAUAUCAUUAUACUUCACCACCUCCUCCAUACUAUUAUAGCUCACCACCACUACCCAAGGAAUCUCCUCCUCCACCAUAUCACUACAGUUCCCCACCACCACCAAAGAAGUUACCUCCAACUCCAUACUACUACAAGUCUCCACCACCACCACCAAAGAAGUCUUCUCCCCCACCAUACUACUAUACUUCACCACCACCACCAACUCAUUACUAUCCUCCACAUCAUCAAUUUGUUGUCAAAGUUGUCGGCAAAGUCCAUUGUUUUAGAUGUUACAACAGGAAGCACCCAGAAAUGUCUCACGGCAAAAAGCACCUUAAAGGUACCAUAGUCUUGAAUAAUUACACUAAUCUCCAAUUUGUUAUGUUCUUUUAAUUUUAUCAUCAAAAUUUUAUUAGCUAUAUAUUUACUUUUUGUUGCUUUCUUCAUUGCGCUCUUAACGAAAUUCAUAAAUGUGUCCAUUUUUAUUUGGAUAGUUGAUUCAUUUCUAUUUUCAAAUGUGAAAGUAUUGAAAUUCUAAAGCAUCAAGAAAUUUUACACAGAAACGACUUUAACUAUAAUUGUUACUAUAGAGUAAAAUAUAUUGCGAAAUGGAAGUAGUUCUUGCUUGAAAAUGAAGAACUAAUUUUAAGUGUGAUUUAUUCUCACAUUGGCUGACAAAAGUCCGUAUUAACAUGCAAUUAAUUUCCAUUACCAGAAUGUAAAAUAGUUAGUAAAGUUACAAUAAAGAAAUUUUUAUCAUGUCAUGAAAAUGUAUGUUUUACUUUUGUUUUAGGGGGGGGUAAGGCUUGGAUCGAAACCAUUUAUUAACAACUCAACUCCUUCAGUGUUAAUUAAUGGAUUUUAUUUACAUGGACUAGGUGUUGUUGUUGAAGUGACUUGCAAGGCUGGUGACAAGAAAAUUGUGAGUUAUGGUACCACUAAGCUCAAUGGAAAAUUUAGCAUCACAGUUGAAGGAUUUGAAUAUCGCAAAUAUGGAGCAAAGGCUUGCAAGGCUAAACUCCACAAUGCACCAAAGGACUCAAAGUGUAGCAUUCCUACAAACCUUCAUUGGGGAAUUAAGGGUGCUGACCUCAAAGUGAAAUCAAAGAAUAGUUAUGAAGUUGUACUUUAUGCAAAACCAUUUGCUUAUGGAUCUAAGACACCUUAUGCAGACUGCCAAAAGCCCAAGCCUACACCUGCUCCAUACUAUUAUAAAUCUCCUCCACCUCCAUCACCGACUUAUGUGUACAAGUCACCACCUCCUCCAUCACAAAAGUAUGUGUACAAGUCACCACCUCCCCCAACCCCGACAUACAUUUAUAAGUCUCCACCACCACCUGCUUACUAUUACAAAUCACCACCACCACCAACUAAGUCUCCACCACCUCAGUAUUAUUACAAGUCUCCACCUCCACCAUCACCAAAACUUGCACCAGUAUACUAUUAUAAAUCACCACCACCCCCAUCACCGUCACCACCCCCGCCUUACUACUACAAGUCUCCGCCACCACCAUCACCAUCACCAAAACCUGCACCACCAGUAUACUAUUAUAAAUCACCAC